rnacentral:lncRNA from 1 species
UGUCAGUUACCUCUGCUGCCCUUCUUCAGAGACUCCAGCCUGGCUAAAGACAGCUGCAAGUGCUAGAACAUUCUCAUCUAUUGGACUGACCCUCACCACUGGCAUUCUUUCCAAAGGUAAAUUAUAUCAUCUUUCAAGACUGUUCCAAAAGGAGAACUAGAUGGAUCUAUCGCCCCAUAUUUGAUUCCCACUCCAAGUUUGGGUUGGCUGCCAAAACUGAUGAUACCACGAUCUUCCCAAGAGGAUUGAGAAAGUUUAUCAAUCACACAUAAUGAUGCUUUGUGUGGAGGGCAAGCCAGGGUUCCAAACUGAUCCAAGAAUCAGAGAGAGCUGCUAAGGAUAUUGGCUCAGCUUUCGGAGGCUUUAGGGUUUCCAGAGAGGCUGGGGUACGGGUGUGUGGUGUGAGCAUACCCCAGGAAAGGAAAGGAUACUCAGG